rnacentral:tRNA from 1 species
GGGGGUAUAGCUCAGCGGUAGAGCACAUGCUUGGCAUGUACAAGGCUCUGGGUUCAAUCCCCAGUACCUCCA